UCAGUUUAGAAAAAAAAUGUAAAAUCCUCUGAAUGAGGAGACAGGGGGGGCUCUCUGGCCUUGGCCUCAGGCCUCCGACCACUGGACCACGAGUGCCCACGCGCUAUACGCACCGACGUAUAUGGUGGCUGAAAGGCUAAAAGCCUUAUUUCCUCUCGGCCAAUCGCAGAUGUUUGCGAGAAAUCUGGCGGUGAUGAAGGCUUGACGAUGGUCUACCGGAGGCUUUGAUCACGGUGUGACUCAGGGCCUGGAAUCAUGGCCUUGAUGGGGGCACGAUCGGUGGCUAUUGAGACGGCGAGGCACUGAUGGGGUAUUGGAAACCUGCAAUAGAGCAUUGAUGGCCGUCUCAAUUCAGGGAACUGGAUAGACGCUCCCCGAAACUUCCAGAAAACAUUGCGGCACCAGGAGGGAAAGGCAGAAACCCUAGGGUUUCUUGCCUUGAUGUAAUAAUUUGGGCCAGUUGGGCCACUUUAGUCCUGGGUCUGUUUGGGUAUUUGGGCUUGGGUGUAACCGGGUUUUAGGUGGUUUACAAGUUAAUGGGUUAGUUUAGUUGGGUUUUAGGUAUUUGAUUGUAAAUGGGCUGCUAAGUGUAAUGGGUCUGUUGGGUUUAGGCUAAAUGGGUCUAUUGGGCUGGUUAUUUAUGGACUUUUAAAUGGACAUUUUAAAUAAAUAAAUAUUUAUUCAA